rnacentral:lncRNA from 10 species
AAAGCUUCUUCCUGGCUGGUUGGGCUGCUUGCUCUUGAAGCCUUCAGUCUCUAUGCACGCAGCAUGCCUUCCCAGCCUCCUGUGGUUGUAGAGUGUAUAGAAGGCAGUUGGAUCACUAUGGACAGCGGGUAAGAGCUGAGGAAGCAGCCUCCGCCAGGUGGUAACAUGGAGGACCCUGAAGGCCAAUUAAAUCAAGCAUAUUCCUCAGUAUCAUGGAGAGACUGGAGGUUAGAGACACCAAAACCAUCCCUGGCUUAAUGACUUUGGGAUCCCUGGGCCCCUCCAUGCAGCAGAACGGCAAUUAACCAAGACCAUUGGCCAUUCUCUGACCAUCUCAAGCCAGAGGUGACUUGAUCUGUCACCCAGCUGUGGCCCAUGAGCAUUAUCUAAGGAGGAACAUUUUUGCUUACGUUUCCAGUGCUCUACAUAAGCCCUAGGCCCUGGGAGGCACUGAAAUGCUCAAUGGGAGCUCCAUGUGUGCAGGCUUAUGGACUGAAAUACUACUUUCAUGGCUCUGGCUAUGAACAUCAGCAUAUAGAGAAUGGAUCACUACCAAAGAAGGCACCCGAAUGUGUCUGUCUCAUCCUGGGGAAACUCAUUCAUCUGUAUAUGUACUCAGCAAGUGUUUCCUGGCACCUGCUCUGGGUCACAGUGCUGGGCACUGGAAGCUGAGAGAUGUGGAAGAAGGCUGGACAUUCAAGGUAUGCACCCACACCUGCCUAGGGGACUCGUACCUGCAAACAAACAAAAGAUCACAGUGCAAGCUGACAAAUACUCUGAUAGAGGUGUGGGAAGAAAUGCUCCAGGAGCUCAGUGGAUUGGUGAAGUUUGCUUCAUUCAUUUAAGCAAAUAAAAAUGGGUUCUGGAUACAUUCAGCAAAAGAUGAUUUGGAAGGCAAGAAAGAUCUUGAUCACCAAGCUUAUGUGCUUGAUCUUGUGCUAUCCAGAGGGCUUCUGGCUAAUUCAUUGAACUUAAAGAUGAGAGAUAUAAUUUUCUUUUACAAAAAGACAAGUUUUCCAAAUUUGCUGACCUUUCCAAUGAUGACAGGUAGCUGUUGCUAUUAGAUAUUUUUGAAAAAGUAAACAUCUGUAAUCUGCCCUUUCAAGGUAAAGGCGAUAUUUUUUUAACAAUGAGUGAGAAAGGAACUGUUUUUUGAAACAGGUUUGUGUGCACAAAAGGAAGAACAUUUUAAAAUGGAUGUUUGAAGUGUUUCCACCAUUACAUGAUCCUAUUGCCUAAAAUUUUGUCAGGGUGUCACUUAUAAAAAUUGUUAUAUCUGUGUUCUAUAAAAACUUGGAAACAAAAUUUCCUAAAGUGUUAAAAAAUCUCCUACAUAAAAAAACCUGGAGGACUUUGUACACAUUUGUUCAAAAUGUAGAAAUGCUGCAUCUUCCAAUUCAUUUGCAGAAAUGAACAAUUGAUACGUGGAAUACAGAGAUCUAGUAAGCAAAUGUUCACAUUGUCUGUAUAAUUGGUAGGUGGGAUUGAAAAUGGGUCUAACAUGUACAAAGUGCAGCCAG